rnacentral:tRNA from 1 species
UUCCUUGUAGCUCAGUUGCUAAAGAACCUGCCUGCAAUGCAGGAGACCCAGGUUUGAUUCUUGGUUUGGGAA